rnacentral:misc_RNA from 1 species
UUGCGAGAACGUCCAAGCACGCGGCCGCCUCAAGGGCGGCCUCUUUGUUAAAAUCCUCUGCAACUCGCUUCGCCCCUUUGCGAGUUCUGGCAUAGCCUCUGCCUCCCUCGAACGAGGUAGACACGUUCUGAAAAAUUUUUCGUGCAGCGAAAACCGGAACCCGCUAGGCUUGCCCGAUCACCGUCCCGUCCGUGGCAUCACCGGUGANGAGUGUUGUGCUCCCGCCAGGUCUCUGCGGAGCGACCUAUGACCUCCUCCGAUCCUUCUGUUUGUCCCGG